CUGACUGCAAUGAUAAAUAGAGCAUUGCAUGUAUGCUCCUAACCAUUUAAAGUUUAUAAUUUAUUUUAUAAGCGACAAUGGAUGUGAUGCCCAAUGUAAUUUGUACAUAGUAAAUUAGGAGGAUCUUCGAUCACCUGAUGCCGCGCUAGUUACAUAUAAAAGCAUUAUUUAAUACAAUGACAAAGCCUAGAAUCAAUUGUAAACGACUUUUGUAACAGGCAAGGUGUUGUAAGUGGUUGAGCAGCUGCCAUACUGCGAUCCACUGAAGCUUAUCCUUUGCUUGAUGAUUCGA
rnacentral:ncRNA from 1 species